rnacentral:rRNA from 1 species
AUUGAACGCUGGCGGCAGGCCUAACACAUGCAAGUCGAGCGGAUGAAGGGAGCUUGCUCCUGGAUUCAGCGGCGGACGGGUGAGUAAUGCCUAGGAAUCUGCCUGGUAGUGGGGGAUAACGUCCGGAAACGGGCGCUAAUACCGCAUACGUCCUGAGGGAGAAAGUGGGGGAUCUUCGGACCUGACGCUAUCAGAUGAGCCUAGGUCGGAUUAGCUAGUUGGUGGGGUAAAGGCCUACCAAGGCGACGAUCCGUAACUGGUCUGAGAGGAUGAUCAGUCACACUGGAACUGAGACACGUUCCAGACUCCUACGGGAGGCAGCAGUGGGGACUAUUGGACAAUGGGCGAAAGCCUGAUCCAGCCAUGCCGCGUGUGUGAAGAAGGUCUUCGGAUUGUAAAGCACUUUAAGUUGGGAGGAAGGGCAGUAAGUUAAUACCUUGCUGUUUUGACGUUACCAACAGAAUAAGCACCGGCUAACUUCGUG